rnacentral:rRNA from 1 species
AACGAACGCUGGCGGCAGGCCUAAUACAUGCAAGUCGAACGGAUGUAGCAAUACAUUAGUGGCGCACGGGUGCCUAACGCGUGGGAACAUACCCUUGAGUAAGGAAUAAUGUCUGGAAACGGACACUAAUACCUUAUAAUGACUUCGGUCCAAAGAUUUAUCGCUCAAGGAUUGGCCCGCGUCUGAUUAGCUAGUUGGUGAGGUAACGGCUCACCAAGGCGACGAUCAGUAGCUGGUCUGAGAGGAUGAUCAGCCACACUGGGACUGAGACACGGGCCAGACUCCUACGGGAGGCGGCAGUAAGGAAUAUUGGACAAUGGGGGGAAACCCUGAUCCAGCCAUGCCGCGUGGGUGAAGAAGGCCUUAGGGUUGUAAAGCUCUUUCAAUAGUGAAGAUAAUGACGGUAGCUAUAGAAGAAGCCCCGGCUAAAUUCGUGCCAGCCGCCGCAGUAA